rnacentral:rRNA from 1 species
UACGUAGGGUGCAAGCGUUGUCCGGAAUUAUUGGGCGUAAAGAGCUCGUAGGCGGUCUGUCGCGUCGGCUGUGAAAACUCGGGGCUCAACCCCGAGCCUGCAGUCGAUACGGGCAGACUAGAGUGCUGUAGGGGAGACUGGAAUUCCUGGUGUAGCGGUGAAAUGCGCAGAUAUCAGGAGGAACACCAAUGGCGAAGGCAGCACUCUGGGACGUGACUGACGCUGAGACGCGAAAGCGUGGGGAGCAAACAGG